rnacentral:lncRNA from 1 species
AAACAUCAAUACAACAUUUAUAUAUCAGUCAUUAAGUCCUUACUACAAUCUUAUUACCUCAAAUCACAUCAAUACAUAGUAAGACUACAAUAAAAACCCUACAUUCCCUUAAAACGGAACAAUGAUCAACUUAUUAGCUCUACCCCACUUGUCCAUUAGAGGCAACUCGUGCCAACAUCAGCCCUUUAUGUAUUUAUAUGUCACCUUCCACACUUCACCACACCAUUCUUGUUUACCAAAACAAGAUGAUUCGAAUGGUGCUCCACCGUAGCUUUGGACCUAUCUCCCUUGCUCCUUAAGGCUUAGAAGUAAAAACUACAAGUUCCCCCAU